AGCGCUAGCUACAGGCUUAACACAUGCAAGUCGAGGCGUAGCAUGGUCUUAGCUUGCUAAGACUGAUGGCGACCGGCGCACGGGUGAGUAACACGUAUCCAACCUGCCGUCUACUCUUGGACAGCCUUCUGAAAGGAAGAUUAAUACAAGAUGGCAUCAUGAGUCCGCAUGUUCACAUGAUUAAAGGUAUUCCGGUAGACGAUGGGGAUGCGUUCCAUUAGAUAGUAGGCGGGGUAACGGCCCACCUAGUCUUCGAUGGAUAGGGGUUCUGAGAGGAAGGUCCCCCACAUUGGAACUGAGACACGGUCCAAACCCCUACGGGAGGCAGCAGUGAGGAAUAUUGGUCAAUGGGCGAGAGCCUGAACCAGCCAAGUAGCGUGAAGGAUGACUGCCCUAUGGGUUGUAAACUUCUUUUAUAAAGGAAUAAAGUCGGGUAUGCAUACCCGUUUGCAUGUACUUUAUGAAUAAGGAUCGGCUAACUCCGUGCCAGCAGCCGCGGUAAUACGGAGGAUCCGAGCGUUAUCCGGAUUUAUUGGGUUUAAAGGGAGCGUAGAUGGAUGUUUAAGUCAGUUGUGAAAGUUUGCGGCUCAACCGUAAAAUUGCAGUUGAUACUGGAUAUCUUGAGUGCAGUUGAGGCAGGCGGAAUUCGUGGUGUAGCGGUGAAAUGCUUAGAUAUCACGAAGAACUCCGAUUGCGAAGGCAGCCUGCUAAGCUGCAACUGACAUUGAGGCUCGAAGGUGUGGGUAUCAAACAGGAUUAGAUACCCUGGUAGUCCACACGGUAAACGAUGAAUACUCGCUGUUUGCGAUAUACUGCAAGCGGCCAAGCGAAAGCGUUAAGUAUUCCACCUGGGGAGUACGCCGGCAACGGUGAAACUCAAAGGAAUUGACGGGGGCCCGCACAAGCGGAGGAACAUGUGGUUUAAUUCGAUGAUACGCGAGGAACCUUACCCGGGCUUAAAUUGCAGAUGAAUUACGGUGAAAGCCGUAAGCCGCAAGGCAUCUGUGAAGGUGCUGCAUGGUUGUCGUCAGCUCGUGCCGUGAGGUGUCGGCUUAAGUGCCAUAACGAGCGCAACCCUUGUUGUCAGUUACUAACAGGUUCCGCUGAGGACUCUGACAAGACUGCCAUCGUAAGAUGUGAGGAAGGUGGGGAUGACGUCAAAUCAGCACGGCCCUUACGUCCGGGGCUACACACGUGUUACAAUGGGGGGUACAGAGGGCCGCUACCACGCGAGUGGAUGCCAAUCCCCAAAACCUCUCUCAGUUCGGACUGGAGUCUGCAACCCGACUCCACGAAGCUGGAUUCGCUAGUAAUCGCGCAUCAGCCACGGCGCGGUGAAUACGUUCCCGGGCCUUGUACACACCGCCCGUCAAGCCAUGGGAGCCGGGGGUACCUGAAGUGCGUAACCGCGAGGAGCGCCCUAGGGUAA
rnacentral:rRNA from 1 species